rnacentral:rRNA from 1 species
ACAGCCAGGAUGUUGGCUUAGAAGCAGCCAUCAUUUAAAGAAAGCGUAAUAGCUCACUGGUCGAGUCGGCCUGCGCGGAAGAUGUAACGGGGCUAAACCAUGCACCGAAGCUGCGGCAGCGACACUGUGUGUUGUUGGGUAGGGGAGCGUUCUGUAAGCCUGUGAAGGUGUGUCGUGAGGCAUGCUGGAGGUAUCAGAAGUGCGAAUGCUGACAUAAGUAACGAUAAAGCGGGUGAAAAGCCCGCUCGCCGGAAGACCAAGGGUUCCUGUCCAACGUUAAUCGGGGCAGGGUGAGUCGACCCCUAAGGCGAGGCCGAAAGGCGUAGUCGAUGGGAAACGGGUUAAUAUUCCCGUACUUGGUGUUACUGCGAAGGGGGGACGGAGAAGGCUAUGUUGGCCGGGCGACGGUUGUCCCGGUUUAAGCGUGUAGGUGUGUGUUCCAGGUAAAUCCGGUUCACUUUAACACUGAGGCGUGACGACGAGGCACUACGGUGCUGAAGCAACAAAUGCCCUGCUUCCAGGAAAAGCCUCUAAGCAUCAGGUAACAUCAAAUCGUACCCCAAACCGACACAGGUGGUCAGGUAGAGAAUACCAAGGCGCUUGAGAGAACUCGGGUGAAGGAACUAGGCAAAAUGGUGCCGUAACUUCGGGAGAAGGCACGCUGACACGUAGGUGAAGUGAUUUACUCAUGGAGCUGAAGUCAGUCGAAGAUACCAGCUGGCUGCAACUGUUUAUUAAAAACACAGCACUGUGCAAACACGAAAGUGGACGUAUACGGUGUGACGCCUGCCCGGUGCCGGAAGGUUAAUUGAUGGGGUCAGCGCAAGCGAAGCUCCUGAUCGAAGCCCCGGUAAACGGCGGCCGUAACUAUAACGGUCCUAAGGUAGCGAAAUUCCUUGUCGGGUAAGUUCCGACCUGCACGAAUGGCGUAAUGAUGGCCAGGCUGUCUCCACCCGAGACUCAGUGAAAUUGAACUCGCUGUGAAGAUGCAGUGUACCCGCGGCAAGACGGAAAGACCCCGUGAACCUUUACUAUAGCUUGACACUGAACAUUGAGCCUUGAUGUGUAGGAUAGGUGGGAGGCUUUGAAGUGUGGACGCCAGUCUGCAUGGAGCCGACCUUGAAAUACCACCCUUUAAUGUUUGAUGUUCUAACGUGGACCCGUUACCCGGGUUGCGGACAGUGUCUGGUGGGUAGUUUGACUGGGGCGGUCUCCUCCUAAAGAGUAACGGAGGAGCACGAAGGUUGGCUAAUCCUGGUCGGACAUCAGGAGGUUAGUGCAAUGGCAUAAGCCAGCUUGACUGCGAGCGUGACGGCGCGAGCAGGUGCGAAAGCAGGUCAUAGUGAUCCGGUGGUUCUGAAUGGAAGGGCCAUCGCUCAACGGAUAAAAGGUACUCCGGGGAUAACAGGCUGAUACCGCCCAAGAGUUCAUAUCGACGGCGGUGUUUGGCACCUCGAUGUCGGCUCAUCACAUCCUGGGGCUGAAGUAGGUCCCAAGGGUAUGGCUGUUCGCCAUUUAAAGUGGUACGCGAGCUGGGUUUAGAACGUCGUGAGACAGUUCGGUCCCUAUCUGCCGUGGGCGCUGGAGAACUGAGGGGGGCUGCUCCUAGUACGAGAGGACCGGAGUGGACGCAUCACUGGUGUUCGGGUUGUCAUGCCAAUGGCACUGCCCGGUAGCUAAAUGCGGAAGAGAUAAGUGCUGAAAGCAUCUAAGCACGAAACUUGCCCCGAG